rnacentral:rRNA from 1 species
GUCUACGGCCAUACCACCCUGAUCUCGUCUGAUCUCGGAAGCUAAGCAGGGUCGGGCCUGGUUAGUACUUGGAUGGGAGACAAGUAAGAGCCAAACACA